rnacentral:pre_miRNA from 1 species
CAUCUACUCCCUCCGUUCGGAAUUACUUGUCGCGAAAAUGGAUGUAUCUAGAACUAAAAUACGUCUAGAUACAUCCAUUUCUGCGACAAGUAAUUCCGAACGGAGGGAGUAAUAU